rnacentral:rRNA from 1 species
AGCAGUAGCCGCGGGAAUACGGAGGGGGCUAGCGUUGUUCGGAAUUACUGGGCGUAAAGCGCACGUAGGCGGUCAUUCAAGUCAGAGGUGAAAGCCCGGAGCUCAACUCCGGAAUUGCCUUUGAAACUAGAUGACUUGAACACGGGAGAGGUGAGUGGAAUUCCGAGUGUAGAGGUGAAAUUCGUAGAUAUUCGGAAGAACACCAGUGGCGAAGGCGGCUCACUGGACCGUUGUUGACGCUGAGGUGCGAAAGCGUGGGGAGCAAACAGGAUUAGAUACCCGUGUAGUCCCUGUCUCUUAUAC